rnacentral:rRNA from 1 species
UACGGAGGGUGCGAGCGUUGUCCGGAAUCAUUGGGCGUAAAGGGCGCGUAGGCGGCUCUGAUCGUCGGAUGUGAAAGGCCUGGGCUCAACCUGGGAAUGGCAUCCGAUACGGCGGGGCUGGAGUGUGGGAGAGGUUGGUGGAAUUCCCAGUGUAGAGGUGAAAUUCGUAGAUAUUGGGAAGAACACCGGUGGCGAAGGCGGCCAACUGGACCACAACUGACGCUGAGGCGCGAAAGCGUGGGGAGCGAACAGG